AACGCGAAGAACCUUACCCGGCCUUGACAUCUAUGGAAUUCCUCAGAGAUGAGGAAGUGCCUUCGGGAACCAUAAGACAGGUGCUGCAUGGCUGUCGUCAGCUCGUGUCGUGAGAUGUUGGGUUAAGUCCCGCAACGAGCGCAACCCUUGUCCUUAGUUGCCAUCAUUAAGUUGGGAACUCUAAGGAGACCGCCGGUGACAAACCGGAGGAAGGUGGGGAUGACGUCAAGUCAUCAUGGCCUUUAUGGCCGGGGCUACACACGUGCUACAAUGGCAGGUACAGAGGGAAGCCAACUCGCGAGAGGGAGCCAAUCCCAGAAAGCCUGUCGUAGUCCGGAUCGGAGUCUGCAACUCGACUCUGUGAAGUCGGAAUCGCUAGUAAUCGCAGAUCAGCAUUGCUGCGGUGAAUACGUUCCCGGGCCUUGUA
rnacentral:rRNA from 1 species